AACUUCUCCACCAUGUGUCUCUGUUGUCUUGGUUUCUGUCUGUAUGCUUGCCCCUCCCCUCCUGUGUGCCCAUGAUUAGUUUGAUUAUUCUCACCUGCCCCUUGUUACCUGUCGUGUAUAUAAGUCCUGUCUGCCCCUCACGCCCCGUCGGAUCAUUGUGUGUUGUUGGUGUCUUGAU